UACGAGGGGGGCAAGCGUUGUUCGGAAUUAUUGGGCGUAAAGGGCGCGUAGGCGGUUUGGCAAGUCUAGUGUGAAAUCUUCGGGCUCAACUCGAAGUCUGCACUGGAAACUGCCGGGCUUGAGUAUGGGAGAGGUGAGUGGAAUUUCCGGUGUAGCGGUGAAAUGCGUAGAUAUCGGAAGGAACAUCAGUGGCGAAGGCGACUUCCUGGACCGUUACUGACACUGAGGCACGAAAGCGUGGGGAGCGAACAGG
rnacentral:rRNA from 1 species